rnacentral:rRNA from 1 species
GACGAUGCGUAGGGGUUCUGAGAGGAAGGCCCCCCACACUGGUACUGAGACACGGACCAGACUCCUACGGGAGGCAGCAGUGAGGAAUAUUGGUCAAUGGCCGAGAGGCUGAACCAGCCAAGUCGCGUGAGGGAAGAAUGUCCUAAGGAUUGUAAACCUCUUUUGUCGGGGAGCAAAAAGGCUCUGCGGAGUCGUAUUGAGAGUACCCGAAGAAAAAGCAUCGGCUAACUCCGUGCCAGCAGCCGCGGUAAUACGGAGGAUGCGAGCGUUAUCCGGAUUUAUUGGGUUUAAAGGGUGCGCAGGCGGCGUGUCAAGCAAGCGGUAAAAUAGCGGGGCUCAACCCCGUCGAGCCGUUUGAACUGGCGCGCUUGAGUUCAGGCGAGGUAGGCGGAAUUCGUGGUGUAGCGGUGAAAUGCAUAGAUAUCACGAAGAACUCCGAUUGCGAAGGCAGCUUACCAGUCUGCGACUGACGCUCAGGCACGAAAGUGUGGGUAUCGAACAGGAUUAGAUACCCUGGUAGUCCGCACAGUAAACGAUGAGCGCUAGGUGUCCGGGUCGCAUGAGACUUGG